rnacentral:rRNA from 1 species
UACGUAGGGGGCAAGCGUUGUCCGGAAUGACUGGGCGUAAAGGGAGUGUAGGCGGUUUUUUAAGUUAAAUGUGAAAGCCCGGGGCUUAACUCCGGAACUGCAUUUAAUACUGGAUGACUAGAGUGUGGGAGAGGUAAGUGGAAUUCCUAGUGUAGCGGUGGAAUGCGUAGAUAUUAGGAGGAACAUCAGUGGCGAAGGCGACUUACUGGAACAUAACUGACGCUGAGGCUCGAAAGCGUGGGGAGCAAAC